UCUGCGCGGUCCGCGCCGAGGUCUCAGCGCGCCUGCGCCGCGCCACGAGAACGUGAAGACCCCCCGCACGGCAGCAAGGAUUUCUGGGAGUUGUAGUCUCCGUUUCGGCCGGAAUUUUACCGUCGGCAGAGGGUUGCUGCCAAAGGAUCGGACCACGAUACCCAGAGAUCCUUGCAGACUGUGUCCCGGAUGCUGAGGCCCCGCGACGGCUUUAGGGAAUUGUAGUCCUGCUGCGUUUCUUCUUAGCGCAGUUCCAGUUUCGUAGGGGUACUUUUCCUUGAAACAGGAUCCCCUGGAGUAGAUGGGGCCCAGAGCUAGGGAGGCCCUGAAGACUUCUGUGAAACAGCUCCAGGUGUAAUUUUACUGCCAAGAGUGUAAUAAUUACCUCGCCUCCACACUCGGUAUAGCUUGGGCUCAGUUCAGAUGCCAGCCCUUAGCAGUGCUUAAGAAUCUUGUACGGUCCGUUUGUGCUGCCGGCACCCGGAGUGCGCCACAACAUCCUCAGUCCGGCAGCGGGACUACGGAUCAGGCACGAAGGAGAAAGUCUGCCCGGUGGAAGUCAGCUUGAGAAAGGUUUGCUAAAGAAGAGCUACGGCGACGCAAUACUCGGUUCCCGCGUCUUUGCUGGGGACGCUCCAUAAGCAUUUAGCAACCCUGAAACCUGGAACUCCACGGUUUGGUUCCCUUGUCACCACAACACCUGGCCUGACCAACUUGUUUCCAGUACUGUAGGGGCCAAGGGCGAAUUUAAUCUCCGUCUGGAGUAGUCUCAGGUACACCGGCAAGUUGCAGGGGCGCUGAGAAGCAGCGUAUAGUGUCCAGAAGAAGGGCUUAGGUUCGAGUAGGUGGUGCGAUUUAUGACCCACUCCAGUCUCCUGCUCCGCACGUCAGCCUUUCUAUUUGGGAAAAUGUCUCCCUUUCCCACUUCGCACCAGUGGGGCUAAGUUUUUCACUCCGUGGCCUUUGUGAAAUAAGCCAGUUGCCCCAGACCUAGGCAUUUGAUUCUGUGAGCUUUAUAAAGUUCAAAGAUAUUUUAACGCUGUUGUUAACUAACGAUCAUCCCAUUAAAGAAACAUUCUCAACUACCUUAGAGUGAGGGAGGAUGGGGUGAAUGAAAAAUUAUUUAAGAAUGACACAUACUUAUUUUUAUUUAGUUCCCAGUAACCUCACAUCAGAAACCAAAUUGUCAGCCUACAAAAUUAAGAAACUGGAUGAAACUAGCAACCAGAAACCUUGGAUGAUGCUCUAACCAACUAAGCUCCCCUGCCAGGGUGAAACUGGUAUUUCUUAAACAGGCAAGUGUUUACCACUAGGGGCAUUGGAAGAUGAGAAAUUACAAAAGGACAAAUAAAUGUUGUAGUGUAGUGUUGUAAUCCUAUUAUUAAAUCUCAGUAAUUGGCUUAUGUAUUAUCCCUAAAACACUCCAGUGUGAUUUGAGUGAAGAAAUACAGUUAGUGUGUAGUGCUAAAUUUUAAGUAAGUGUACAGCAUGAGCUUCAGAAUAAGUAAGUGUGCACUAAUAGAAUUAGGAGAGAUCACCCAAUCUGCUUAAUUUACAAGAAAAGGAAACUCAGAGAGGUUGAGUAACCUGCACAGUUACUCAGCAAGCCUGUGACAGAACAGGAACUGCAACAGCUGUCGGCAUCACAUCUGGCGUUGUUUCGAUUGUAUAAACACUUGCAGUUCUCCAUUUCCUGCGUUGCUUUUCCUCCCCUGCACCUAUUUAGGAAAAAGAAAAACGAGUCUGUAUGACUGACAAGGAGGACAAACUAUUUUCGCUAAUUGUCCUUAAGUAGAUGAAUAUAAAUCCACACCCGGUUGCUCCUGGAGCAGUUUUACUUCCUCUCUAAUAAUGAGCAAAACUGAAAGAAAAAAUAACAAAAACAAAAAAACCCGCAGUCUCUCCUGUAGGAGGCGUGGGACAGAGGGGGUUCCAGAUCGCCUGUGAAAACGCUGGAACACAAAGGUGUGUUUCAAGGAACCCAUUCCUUCCCCAGGCCAUUUAAGCAGUGG